GAAAGACUUAUUUGAUGACUCAGAUUAUAUUAAUAUACUCCAUUUGUGUGUAUGUGCGUGUGUGUGUGUGUGUGUGUUGGUGAGGCAAAGAAACAUUAAUAAAACUAAGCACUUUCAUGUAUAUUAAAUUUUGAGAGGAAAUGAAGAGAUGGAUAGGAAGCUCUCUCUCUCCUUCUUCUUUCCUCCUUCUCCUCUCUCUCAUUCUUUCCUUCUUUUCUCUCUCUCUCUAUUUCGUCUUCCUCCUCUUUCUCAAUUUCUCUAUUUUUCUCCUCCAUUCCUUUCCUUUCCUUCCUCUCUUCCUUUUUUCUUUCACUCCCUUCUCUUACUCUAUUUCUCCUUCUAUGAUAUCUUCCUUUCUUUAUCUCUCUCUCUGGUCUGAAUAUGUAAAUCUUUAUCUCUCUCUCUGGUCUGAAUAUGUAAAUCUUUAUCUCUCUCUCUGGUCUGAAUAUGUAAAUCUUUAUCUCUCUCUCUGGUCUGAAUAUGUAAAUCUUUAUCUCUCUCUCUGGUCUGAAUAUGUAAAUCUUUCUCUCUCCUCUCUGGUCUGAAUAUGUAAAUCUUUCUCUCUCUCUCUCUCUCUCUCUCUCUCUCUCUCUAGUCUGAAUAUGUAAAUCUCUCUCUCUCUGGUCUGAAUAUGUAAAUCUUUAUCUCUCUCUCUGGUCUGAAUAUGUAAAUCUUUAUCUCUCUCUCUGGUCUGAAUAUGUAAAUCUUUCUCUCUCCUCUCUGGUCUGAAUAUGUAAAUCUCUCUCUCUCUCUCUCUCUCUCUCUCUCUCUCUCUCUCUCUCUCUCUCUAGAUGCAACACAUGAAAUACCUUAGUUUUGCAUAUGCUUCAGUGCUUCCUAAACAGUCACCAACAAGUCAAGUACAUGUGUCUAUAUAUAUAUAUAUUUCUUACAUAUUCAACAACAUACAUAUAAAGGCUUACUAAGAUAUAACAAACACUACCACUGAUGUGAGAAAAUAAAUGAAAAAUCACAGAGCUUGGAAUUAAAACUACGAGGCUUAGGACUUAGGUGGAAGAUAAUGUUAAAUGAUUACAACACAAGAGUACAUAAUAAUCAUAAACAUAACCCAAUACAGUUCCCACACUACAUCAGAACUGCCAUUGACUACAACACAGGAGUACAUAAUUAUAAAUGUGUGUAUGUGUGUGUGUGUGUGUGUGUGUUUACCUAGUUGCAGUAUACAGGGACUUAGCUAUACUCAGUUGGUCCUGUCUUCAAAUUUAUAUAUAAUUCCAGUUGUGUGUGUGUGUGUGUGUGUGUGUCCUGUCUUCAAAUCUAUAUAUAAUACCAGUUGUGUGUUUGUGUGUGUGUGUGUGUGUGUGUGUGUGUGUGUGUUUUCACAA